UGCGUAACGCGUAUGCAACCUGCCUGUAAGUUAGGGAUAACCCGGUGAAAGUCGGACUAAUACCCUAUAUUCAUCGUUAAUCGCAUGAUUGGNAGAUGGAUAGAUUUAUUGAUUACAGAUGGGCAUGCGUCCCAUUAGCUGGUUGGUAAGGUAACGGCUUACCAAGGCAACGAUGGGUAGGGGGACUGAGAGGUUGACCCCCCCACACUGGUACUGAGACACGGACCAGACUCCUACGGGAGGCAGCAGCG
rnacentral:rRNA from 1 species